GGGAUUGUAGCUCAAUUGGUUAGAGUAUCGCCCUGUCACGGCGGAAGUUGCGAGUUCGAGUCUCGUCAGUCCCG
rnacentral:tRNA from 1 species